GAUGAAGAACGCAGUGAAAUGCGAUAAGUAGUGUGAAUUGCAGAAUUCAGUGAAUCAUCGAAUCUUUGAACGCACAUUGCGCCCCUUGGUAUUCCAUGGGGCAUGCCUGUUCGAGCGUCAUUUGUACCUUCAAGUUUUGCUUGGUGUUGGGUGUUUGUCUCGCCUUUGCGUGUAGACUCGCCUUAAAAUAAUUGGCAGCCGGCGUAUUGAUUUCGGAGCGCAGUACAUCUCGCGCUUUGCACUCAUAACGACAGCGUCCAAAAGUACAUUUUACACUCUUGACCUCGGAUCAGGUAGGGAUACCCGCUGAACUUAAGCAUAUCAAUAAGCGGAGGA
rnacentral:misc_RNA from 1 species